AUAAUUACCUAGCUGAUGAGAUACUAUGAUCACUACCAUGGUCUACCCAGGCAAGGUUUAUUCAUUGCACUCAGAAUGUGCUGACCCCUUGUGAUUUCCCUAAAUGUGGGGAAACUCAACUGCAUAAUUUGUGGUAAUGAUCUGUGGUGAUGGGAGCACUGAAUUU
rfam:Mesocricetus auratus contig196938, whole genome shotgun sequence.